AUUGAACGCUGGCGGCAGGCCUAACACAUGCAAGUCGAACGAGUGGCGGACGGGUGAGUAAUGUCUGGGAAUCUGCCUGAUGGAGGGGGAUAACUACUGGAAACGGUAGCUAAUACCGCAUACCAUCGGAUGUGCCCAAAUGGGAUUAGCUAGUAGGUGGGGUAAGGGCUCACCUAGGCGACGAUCCCUAGCUGGUCUGAGAGGAUGACCAGACACACUGGGACUGAGACACGGUCCAGACUCCUACGGGAGGCAGCAGUGGGGAAUAUUGCGCAAUGGGCGCAAGCCUGACGCAGCCAUGCCGCGUGAAUGAAGAAGGCCUUCGGGUUGUAAAGUACUUUCGGCUGGGAGGCGUUAACCGCAGAAGAAGCACCGGCUAACUCCGUGCCAGCCGCCGCGGUAAUAC
rnacentral:rRNA from 1 species